AAGUGUAGAAAUUCCUCCCCUUUAAAUCCGCGAUUUGUGUGAAUUGUGACAUUCUUCUUCAUCGAUUUCUACCUUGCGCUAUUUGGUGAUUGCAGCUAAACCCUAACCCUAGAAUCUAAUCCAACCAUGUCAAGCAAACAAGGAGGAAAAGCAAAGCCUUUGAAGCAACCCAAGGCCGCCAGUAAAGAAUACGACGAGGUUGACAUGGCUAAUAUUCAAAAGAAGAAGGAAGAAGAAAAGGCGCUGAAGGAGCUCAAGGCUAAAGCUCAGCAGAAGGGAUCGUUUGGAGGUUCGGGUUUGAAGAAAAGUGGCAAAAAAUGAGCCCUGCUAAAAGAAAACCUAUUGGCUCAAUGCAAAUGUUUUUCGGCAUUGUGUUGUAUUUUAACCUCUAUUAUCGAAUCUUUCGAACCUAUUAGCUUGUUCUUAUUUGAUGGCUGAUGACUGUCAAACUUUUUUCGGGUGCUUUUCUAUGCAAAAUAUGUAUUCCAUUUUAAUGGACCAAUGAUAUUUUCCUUACCUGAAAUAUUUUAUCUUGCUGUGCGAUUGAAGGUUGA